GCCCUCAUAGUUCAAUGGAUAGAACACCAGCCUUCUAAGCUGGUUAUGUAGGUUCGAUUCCUACUGAGGGCACCA
rnacentral:tRNA from 1 species